GACGAACGCUGGCGGCGUGCUUAACACAUGCAAGUCGUACGGUAAGGCCCUUUCGGGGGUACACGAGUGGCGAACGGGUGCGUAACACGUGAGUAACCUGCCCACAACUUUGGGAUAACGCUAGGAAACUGGUGCUAAUACUGGAUAUGUGCUCCUGCUGCAUGGUGGGGGUUGGAAAGCUCCGGCGGUUGUGGAUGUCAUCGCGGCCUAUCAGCUUGCUGGUGGAGUAGUGGCCUACCAAGGCGGCGACGGGUAGCCGGCCUGAGUGGGUGACCGGCCACAUUGGCACUGACGUACGGCCCAGGCACCUACGGGAGGCAGCAGUGCGGAAUAUUGCACAAUGGGCGCAAGCCUGAUGCAGCAGCGCCGCGUGCGGGAUGACGGCCUUCGGGGUGUAAACCGCUUGCAGCAGGGACGAAGCUUUUUGUGACGGUACCUGCAGAAGAAGCAACGGCUAACUACGUG
rnacentral:rRNA from 1 species